CCUACGGGUUGCAGCAGUGGGGAAUAUUGCACAAUGGGCGGAAGCCUGAUGCAGCAACGCCGCGUGCGGGAUGACGGCCUUCGGGUUGUAAACCGCUUUCGCCUGUGACGAAGCGUGAGUGACGGUAAUGGGUAAAGAAGCACCGGCUAACUACGUGCCAGCAGCCGCGGUGAUACGUAGGGUGCGAGCGUUGUCCGGAUUUAUUGGGCGUAAAGGGCUCGUAGGUGGUUGAUCGCGUCGGAAGUGUAAUCUUGGGGCUUAACCCUGAGCGUGCUUUCGAUACGGGUUGACUUGAGGAAGGUAGGGGAGAAUGGAAUUCCUGGUGGAGCGGUGGAAUGCGCAGAUAUCAGGAGGAACACCGGUGGCGGAGGCGGUUCUCUGGGCCUUUCCUGACGCUGAGGAGCGAAAGCGUGGGGAGCGAACAGGAUUAGAUACCCCGGUAGUC
rnacentral:rRNA from 1 species